rnacentral:rRNA from 1 species
UAAAGCUUUUGCGGUUUGGGAUGGGCCUGCGUCCUAUCAUGUAGUAGGUGAGGUAAGUGCUCACCAAGCCUAUGACGGGUAGCUGGUCUGAGAGGAUGGUCAGCCAGACUGGGACUGCGAGACGGCCCAGACUCCUACGGGAGGCAGCAACUAGGAAUUGUGCGCGAUGGACGAAGGUCUGACGCCGCGACAUCGCGUGGAGGAUGAAGGUCUUCGGAUUGUAAACUCCUUUUCUUACCGAACAAGUUCUGAGUGUAGGUAAGGAAUAAGUGCCUGCUAACCACGUGCCAGAAGCAUCGGUAAUACGUGGGGCACGAGCGUUAUCCGGAUUUACUGGGCGUAAAGAGAAGCGUAGGCGGCUCGAUAAGUUUGGUGUUAAAUCUUCCGGCUCAACCGGAAACAAGUACCGAAAACUAUCGAGAUUGAGUCGAGUAGGGAAGAGGGGAAUUCCUGGUGGAGCGGUUAAAAUGCGUAGAUAUCAGGAGGAAUACCAAGGGCGAAGGCACCUCUUUGGACUCGUACUGACGCUGAGGCUCGAAAGCGUGGGUAGCAAAACGGAUUAGAUACCCGUGUAGUCCACGCCGUAAACGAUCCCUGUUAGAUGUA